rnacentral:rRNA from 1 species
GACGAACGCUGGCGGCGUGCUUAACACAUGCAAGUCGAACGGAAAGGCCCUGCUUUUGUGGGGUGCUCGAGUGGCGAACGGGUGAGUAACACGUGAGUAACCUGCCCUUGACCUUGGGAUAACUUCAGGAAACUGGGGCUAAUACCGGAUAGGAGCUCCUGCUGCAUGGUGGGGGUUGGAAAGUUUCGGCGGUUGGGGAUGGACUCGCGGCUUAUCAGCUUGUUGGUGGGGUAGUGGCUUACCAAGGCUUUGACGGGUAGCCGGCCUGAGAGGGUGACCGGCCACAUUGGGACUGAGAUACGGCCCAGACUCCUACGGGAGGCAGCAGUGGGGAAUAUUGCACAAUGGGCGGAAGCCUGAUGCAGCAACGCCGCGUGCGGGGUGACGGCCUUCGGGUUGUAAACCGCUUUCGCCUGUGACGAAGCGUGAGUGACGGUAAUGGGUAAAGAAGCACCGGCUAACUACGUG